GCCCAAGUGGCGGAAUUGGCAGACGCGCCGCACUCAAAAUGCGGUUCUUCGGAGUGUGGGUUCGAGUCCCACCUUGGGCACCA
rnacentral:tRNA from 3 species